AGCCAGGAGGAGGAGCCAUGACGACAGAGGCCCAGUGUCCUGACGCCUUAAAUGGCAUGCAACUCCGGUUUUUAAAUCUUGCUUCCCAAAGCCUUGCCUUAUCUCAAAAAAAAAAAAAAAAAAAAAAAAAAAAAAAAAAAGAAAAAAAAGAAAAGAACCAUGACCAAGUUACAGGAGGCAGUGACAUUCAGGGAUGUGGCCAUGGUCUUCAGUGAGGAGGAGCUGGAGCUGCUGGAUGCUGCCCAGAGGAAGCUACUGGAUGCUGCCCAAAUUUUUUCCUACUUCUGGCUUUGUGGCAUCACUGUGCUGUGAUGCUGGAGAACUUCAAGAACCUUCUGUUAGUGGAGAGAAAAUGCAUGGUAUGAAAGCAACCACUUGGCAGCACUCAGAUCCCCAGGUUCACCUUGGUGUCUCUCCCUACACAAAGGAUGGAAAUCAAGUUGAAGAAAAUGCCAGAAGAUGAGCAUGCUAAACCCAGGGCCACUUACUCAGGUCAUGAAAACAACAAGGAAAACUAAAUAAACAAACAAACAAAAAACGUUGCUAUGUCAUCAAUGCCAUCUGAGUUACAGUCCAGGUAUUGAGGGGCCUUGGAUACCUUCACAGCCUUGAAUCAUCAAGCUUUCUCUUCUCAGUUCAGUGACUGGAACCCAGGCCCUGGCACAGUCUAAACAAUCAUUCCUCCACCAACCUCCACCCAGCCCUCUAUUGCCAUCUCAGCACUCCAGCAAGCACAUCAGCUGCAUUUUGUGCCUGUCUGUGUGAAGGGAGCUUAUAUUUCCUUUAAGAUAGGACCUGCUUAGACUCUUUAAAGUUUAAAAUCUGACCAGUUAGCCAGGAACGGGAAACGUGAUUUAAAAUCUAAGUAUUAUCUACCAGUUCUUCCUGGCCCGUUUCACUCUAAGGAGGCAGCUAUCAGCUGCUGGAGUGUGUAUUAGUUUUCUAUUAGCAUGACAAAACAAC